AGUGAACGCUGGCGGUAGGCCUAACACAUGCAAGUCGAACGGCAGCACAGUAAGAGCUUGCUCUUACGGGUGGCGAGUGGCGGACGGGUGAGGAAUACAUCGGAAUCUACUUUUUCGUGGGGGAUAACGUAGGGAAACUUACGCUAAUACCGCAUACGACCUACGGGUGAAAGCAGGGGAUCUUCUGACCUUGCGCGAUUGAAUGAGCCGAUGUCGGAUUAGCUAGUUGGCGGGGUAAAGGCCCACCAAGUCGAGGAUCCGUAGCUGGUCUGAGAGGAUGAUCAGCCACACUGGAAGUGAGACACGGACCAGGCUCCUACGAGAGGGAGCAGUGGGGAAUAUUGGACAAUGGGCGGAAGCCUGAUCCAGCCAUAGCGCGUGGGUGAAGAAAGCCUUCGGGUUGUAAAGCCCUUUUGUUGGGAAAGAAAAGCAGCAGGUUAAUACCCCGCUGUUCUGACGGUACCCAAAGAAUAAGCACCGGCUAACUUCGUG
rnacentral:rRNA from 1 species